UUUCAUUGGUGACCUCCAUGUAGGUCAGCGUGCCUGGGUCGUGGAAAUCCUGUGAUGGAAUCUAGGAGCUAUGGUG
rfam:Cavia porcellus supercont2_7 genomic scaffold, whole genome shotgun sequence.